CCACCUCAGUGUCACUGCAGUGCUGAAAUCGUAGGUGAAAAUCUACGUUUUGUUUUGAAAAACAAUACAGCACAAGCACAGAAAGCUUCAUAAAUAUUCACAUCAAAAAUUUUAAACUGGAUUUGCAUUACUUUUAUUCUGAACCACAAUAAGCACAUCGGAGCUGCACCCAAAGCGUAAUGUUUAGACACUUUGCCAUGGCGAGCGAGCCACGGUGAGAGCCUGGACGUGCGAAUGUCUCGCGAGUGUGUACUAAAUACACAGAUGAUGCUAAGCCAGUGUGUCCAACAUAGAACGUAUUUUAAAGUGAAUGUUGUAAAUUAUUUUAAAAUAUCUAUAAAUGUAACUUAUUACUAAUGUUUAAAGCGUUCUAAAUCUAGUUAGUUCAAAUAUGUGUUUGAAUGUAUCCUAGCUAACGUUAGCACGUUUUUAAACCAUUCUCUGCGGCCUGUGUAGAGUAGUGAGCGGUUAGCCGUUAGCUAGGUUCGCUAACAGAAAAUGAUGUGUAGGUACGCUUUUUAAACGAUUUAUUGAAACGAAAAUAACCGAACAAAGUGAAGACUUUAACGUGUUUCACAAGUAGGAAACAACAGUUAAUUGUCUUUUUCCUUUUUAGUAAAGAAAAGGCGGACAACGCUGCUGUACGCUAGUUAGCUGUGAAAGCCGAGCUUAUUAUGCUAGCUUAGCUAGCUACCUAGUUUGUUUACAUGUAAUGGAGUUUUCUAGAAGGUUCCAGUAACGCCAAGUCAGAAUCACCUCUUCAGAAUAGCCAAAGUGAAAGACGAAAGUUCAGUCCAUCUCUCAUGCUGUCAUAAAAUGUCUUUUAUUUUGUGGUCUUCCGUUGUGGAAACAUGUAACCUAAGUAGUAACAGCUGACAAUUUCCUAAUUUACACAGUAGGUUUUGAUAAACAAUAUUUAUCCUCAGGAAAAAUGCCUCUCCGUCGCUUGGGAGCCUGCAUGUGAGCUAUUAAAACCUCUCAGAUAGGACCUAAUUCCCGGGAGGGACGAGAGACCACAGCACUCUUGAGUCUGCCUAUCGAAACCCCAGCCCUAUUCUGAAGUGAAGAGGAGCGACCACCUUAUCUUCGUUCCCAGGGCUGACACAGCAUCCACUUGAGAUAGGAGUGAGAGACUGCUGCUGCACGCCAUGUCCAGUAAAACCAGUCAUGAAAAGGCGAGUGACCACCGGGGCAGCGUGGCGUCCGGAAAGGCUGAGAGGGGGCUGGGGCAAAGACCCUGGACAUGUUAUGGAAGUGUGCAGUGGACAGGGGGCAGACAGGACGUGACCCGUGAGAGGAAGUCUUGUGCCCACUAGGAGGAGGAUUCAUCCAUCAAGCCCAGUCGAGACCAGUGGCUGAAGCCUCAAACGAGCUGGGAGGAUUAGCGGGGGACUCAUGCGUUUAUUAAGCUACUACAACUUGCUCGUAUAGGUUGCUACCUGGAUUCUGCCAUGUUUUGUUAGCUGAGGAGACCGAGAAGGUGUAGGGGAGGUUCUUGACUCACAGGAGGCUCGAGGCUGAGUCAGAGGACUGGACUGCAACUGGACUGCCAUUUCUCAAAAUUCCAUCCAUCAAGUGCAAUGUUGGAAACACCCGUGCUCCUCCCCCACACUUAGGACUACUGAAAGCUUCUGGGUCUAGCCGCCUAGGUGCUUUGGAUGUACGACGCUGAAGAGAACACUGAACGGCAGUGUGAUUGUCUUGCAUUGAGAACAGUGUAUGUCAGUAAUGUUCUAGUGUAGAUAUUUUUAUUUUUUCAUUUUAGCAUUCUAACCACAGAUUAUCUCAGUUAACCUAAUGAGAAAAUAAAAAGAAAAAUGCAGUGCGA